rnacentral:tRNA from 1 species
GCCCCCUUAGCUCAGGGGAUAGAGCAACGGCCUCCGGAGCCGUGUGCGCAGGUUCGAAUCCUGCAGGGGGCAC